rnacentral:rRNA from 1 species
UACAGAGGGGGCAAGCGUUGUUCGGAAUUACUGGGCGUAAAGGGCGCGUAGGCGGCCUCUUAAGUCGAACGUGAAAUCCCCGGGCUUAACCUGGGAACUGCAGUCGGGACUGUCUAGCUAGAGUAUGGGAGAGGGAAGUGGAAUUUCAGGUGUAGCGGUGAAAUGCGUAGAUAUCUGAAGGAACAUCAGUGGCGAAAGCGACUUCCUGGACCAAUACUGACGCUCAUGUGCGAAAGCGUGGGGAGCAAACAGG